UACAGAGGGUGCGAGCGUUGUCCGGAAUCACUGGGCGUAAAGGGCGCGUAGGCGGCUUGGUAAGGUUGCGGUGAAAGCCCGGGGCUCAACCCCGGGUCGGCCGUGGCAACUGCUGAGCUGGAGCACUGUAGAGGGCAGGUGGAAUUCCGGGUGUAGCGGUGGAAUGCGUAGAGAUCCGGAAGAACACCGGUGGCGAAGGCGGCCUGCUGGGCAGUGGCUGACGCUGAUGCGCGACAGCGUGGGGAGCAAAGCAGGA
rnacentral:rRNA from 1 species